UUCAACUAUGGAUUUUCGGUCGAAGCAGGUCACCAGUAAAGGAAGAGCAACUCCGGAGUUAAAAGGUUUGAUUCGGACAACGGGACUUCGGAGCAUGUCUUUUCAAACAGAGUGAUGAUGAGUUUUAAAA